CUUCGGAAGUGGAGCAGAAUUUAGUUCAAAGGGUAAACUCUCUUCUUAAAGUUAGGUCUAAAUAAUUUCAGAUUUUGCUGAUCUGCAAAAAGUUCCCCCAAUAAAGUCCAGGCCAUUUGGUGUUUAUAAAUUCAGCCUUGGAUGCACAGCUUAUUUUAACUUCCAGAGCCGUGACUCACCAGUACAUUGCAACAUUGCUACUUGCCAGCACUUGCAAUGCUCCAAUACAUGGACACAUUUUCUCCUCGCCCAGCAGCUGAAAACAUUACCAACUGGUUCCCAAUGCAGUUCAAGAGGCAAAAAAAGCAGUCAAUUACAGAGAGAUGCUGCCAGUCUUGCCAAAUAUUCCCAGUGCUUCCAGCAACACAUCACCUUGAAACCAGGAUCCCAGAACCUCGAAGACCCAGUUACAUGGUACCAGCCUGCAAGACCCCAAUUACAAUUUUCCCUGAUAGCUCUUGCCAAUUACUUUUGGCAAAAGAAAUGAUGGAAAUCGCGAAAAGAACUGGAGGCACAGCAGGUACAUUGCUUCAAACGGCCAGGUUACAGCAUCUGCUUCAUCCACCAGAGUUGCUGCCAGACCUGACUUCCUCCAGCAUUUUGUGUGUGUUGCUGAAGAUUUCCAGUAUCUGCAGAAUCUUUCGCGUCUAUGAAAUUUGUCAGUGCUCCCACUGCUAAUUGUUAUUCAUUAACUUUAGUGUAAAGUGCCGAAACUCUGUAUAAGCGGGAGGAACUACACAUCAUGGAUGGCACAUUAAACACUUUUGGCCUCUGAGUUCAACUAUCUCCGAUAAUCACUGUACCAAGCUUUUGUUAAACAAAGGAGCUUUACAUAAUGUUCUUGCAAACACCUGAUGCAUCUGUCUUUACAUUUUGUUCUUCCCAUUACAGUCAUUUAACCUUGGCUGCUUUCCACCUACACCGAUUGUUCUUUCCUCAACCAUCCACAAGCUAUUCCCUCCCUUGGUAUCACCUGAAAUCUUCUCUCUACUCUAGAAGAAAUUGUUCCCUUCACAUUUUACCUACAAACUUUUUAAAUAAUGUUUUUAGUUGUAUGGCCCCAGACAUUCUGCAAAUAGUCAACACUUCUCAUCUAUCAAGCUGCUUCCUAAAAGCCCUGAGAGUUGCAGUUACUAAGCCUCUUUUAAAAAGAACGACCUAGAUGUCUUGGUAAUUAAUAACUACAGACCUAUAUCAAACUUGCCACGUUUAAGUAAAAUCGUUGAAGAGGUUGCUUAUCAGUGACUUAAUAACUUUUGGCACUAAGUAACUGUAUGGAUGUUUUCCAUUCUGGAUUUUGACAACACUGAGACUGUUCUGGUCAGGGCUUUAAAUGGCGUCUGCUUAUGCUUGAUGAUGGGAAAAUUUCACUUUUGGUUUCACUGGAUCUUAGUGCUGCUUUUGACACAGUUGACCAUGGCAUAUUACUAGACAGACCAGAAAACUGGGUGAAAAUUUCCAGUAUAGUCCUAAAGUGGUUCAAAUCAUAUUUACAGGACAGGAUCAAUUGGUAGCUACAUUUCUGAUGGAAUAAAAAUGACAUACAGUGUGCCUCAAGGGUCCAUACUAGGGCUUCUGUUUAACAAUAUAUAUGCUCCCACUAGGUCAAAUCAUGGUAAGCAACAAAAUACCUUACCUUAGUUAUGUGGAUGACACUCAGAUUUAUAAAUACAGUGUCAUCAAGUGACUAUGGUCCCAUACCAUCACUAAAAACAAUUUUGCACAAAUCACUGAUGGGAUGAGCCAAAAUUUCCUCCAGUUAAACACAGAGAAAAUCCGUGCCAAAAAAGAACAAAAUGAUUAAAAGUCAGUGGUUACUCAAAAUCCCUGUUGUUACCACUAACCAAGCCUGAAACCUUGGUGUUGUGAUGGACUCUGACUUAAAUUUUAACUGCCACAUUAAGACAAUUACAAAGUCAGCCAACUACCAUCUUUAAAAUUUAGCGAGAGUUAAAGGGCUUAUGUCACAGCAAGAUGCAGAAAAUCUCAUCCAUGCAUUUAUUAUUUUUAGGCUUCACUACUAUAAUGGCAUUUUCACAGGUCUCUGUAAAAAAAAUCCCUCAGACGGUUGCAGCUCAUUCAGAACACUGCUGCUAGAGUCCUCACUGAGACCAAGUAGAACGCAUCACCCCAGCUCUCAGAUCACUAUACUGGCUUCAGAGGAUUGACUUUAAAAUAUUACUACUGGUUUAUAAAGCACAGAAUGGUCUAGGGUCAAAAGAUAUCUCCAAUCUCUUUCUGCAUUAUGAAUAUACCCCAGCUCUCAGAUCACCUGGGGUAGGCCUGCUUACCGUUCCUAGGGUCAAAAUACUGAACUAAACAUGGCGAAACAGCUUUUAGUUACAAUUCUCCACAUGUCUGGAAUAACCUGCCUGGGGAUCUGAAGUCUGCCCCAGCUUUAAGCUCUUUUAACUUAAGGCUUAAAACUUUUCUUCUUGCUGUAGCAUUUAAUUAGAAUUCUCUGCACUGUAACUUUUAUCUAUUUUUGUGUGAUCGUAUUUUUUUAUAUAUUGACUGAAAUUUGAUGUUUGAUUUUUAUAUUUUGUUUUAUGUAAAGCAUUUUGAACCGCCUUGUGUUUGAAAAGUCCUUUACAACUAAACUUGCUUUGAGUUGCCUUACUCUUUAUACCUCAUCUUUUAAAAUAUUUUCACUAUCUUCUGAUUUCCUUUAAUGUCAGCAAAGCCAAGGACCCUGAUUAUUGACUUCAGGAGAAGGAAACCAGAGAUCCAUGAGUCAGUCCACAUCGAAGGCUCAGAGGUGGAGAGGGUCAGCAAUUUUAAACUCCCCAACUUAACGCCCCAACACACAAGUGCAAUUAUAAAGAAAGCACCAGGUCUUUGGACUGUUGGCGGAAACCGGAAUACCCGGAGAAAACCCACCAUUCCACAGGGAAACCUACGGAGACUUCUUACAGAAUGGCACCGGAAUUGAACUCCGAACUCUGGAAUGCCCUCAGCUGUAAUAGUAAAGAAGAGAAAGUCUGCAGAUGCUGGAAAACUGAGCAACAGACACAGAACGUUGGAGGAACUCAGCAGGCCAGGCCGCAUCUAUGGAAAAAUGUACAGUUAACGUUUUGGGCCGAGACCCUUCAACAGGACUGGAGAAAAAGAGAUGAGUCAGAGUUAGAAGGUAGGCGGAGGGGUCUAACUGCUAUGUGACCGGUAGCGACCAGUUAGCAAACAGUUCUGUACUUCCAAAGCCCAGAAACAGUAGCACUUUGAAGGAAGCCCUGAGAACCACCAAGACCGAGACCAAAGGUGUCCAAGGAUAAACAGAGAGGACCAUUGUUACUGCCUUACCCACCAGAAGGUGUAAUGGGCAGUAAGUAAAAAGACAAUUUUACAUUUAUAUUUGACUGGGCCUGCUCAGAUAAAUCAGCAGUGGAGCUAAGCCAAAGGUACAUGACAGACCACAAGCAAUUUCCAUUAAAACAUGGCAGAGAGUACCAUAUCUCCCCAUUCCUAUUAAGAGGCACUGCUCCUGAAUCAGGCAGGGCAAUAGGGCACAGGGCCCAAAGCUGAGCCCAGUGUUAAUGGAGCAAUAGACUUCGAUUCCUAGGACCAGCAUGGAAGAUUAUGGUGAAAUGUUCUCAAAGAGUUCUGGGCUAACACCAAAAGGAAAGUAAAUAUGGUCUUUGCAGGUGUUGAUUUAAGUAGAGGGAUAUGUGUGCUACUGAAAUAUAAAACCAUAAGACCAUUAAAAGGUAGAACAGAAUUCGGCCAUUUAGCCAUCAAGUCUGCUCCACCAUUUCAUCAUGGCUGAUCCAUUUUCCCUCUCAGCUCCAUCUCCCCAAUUCCAUUUAUGUCCUAACUAAUCAAGAAUCUAUCAACCUCUGCCUUAAAUAUACCCAAUGACUUGGCCCCCACAGCUGCCUGUGGCAACAAAUUCCACAGAUUCACCACUCGAUGGCAAAAGAAAUUCUUCCUCAGCUCCAUUCUAAAAGGGUGCCUCUCGACUCUGAGACCACGUUCUCUGGUCUUAGAUUCACUCGGCAUAGGAAACAUCCUCUCCACACCCACUUCCAACAUUCAAUGAGGACACCCCACGUUCUUCUGAAUUCCAGUGAAUACGGUCCAGAGACAUCAAACGCAUUUCAUAUGACAAGCCCUUCAUGCCCAGAAUCAUUUUCCCUUCCUUUGAAAUUCCUUUGAACCCUCUCUAACUUUAGGCCAUCCUUUCUGGGAUAAGGGGUCCAAAAUUGCUCACAAUAAGAGAGGCCUCACUCGUGCUUUAUAAAGCUUCAACAUUGCAUUCUUGCUUUUAUAUUCUAGUCCUCUCGGAAUGAAUGGUAACAUUGCAUUUGCCUCCCUCACCACCAACUUAACCUGCAAACUAACCUUUAGGGAAUCCUGUACAAGGACUUCCAAGUCCCUUUGCAUCUCUGAUUUUUGAAUUUUCUCUCGAUUUAGAAAAGAGUCUAUCCUUUUAUUUCUUCUACCAAAGUGCUUGACUAUACACUUCCCGAUACUGUAUUCCAUCUGCCACUUCUUUGUCCAUUCUUCUAAACUAAGUCCUUCUGUAGUUUUUAUAUUUCCUCAAAAUUACCUGCCUGUCCACCUGUAUUAGUAUCAUCCACAAACUUGGCCACAAAGCUAACAAUUUCUUCAUCCAAGUCAUUGAGAUAUAUAUAACUUAAAAAGCAGUCCCAACACAGAGCCUAGUGGAACAGCACUAGUCAGCGGCAGCCAAUCAGAAGAGGCUCCCUCUACUCCUACUCUUUGCCUCCUGCCAGUCAGCCACUGCUUUAUCCACGCUAGUCCCAUUCCUGUAACUCCAUGAGCUUUUAACUCGUUAAGCAGCCUUAUGUGUGACACCUUCUGAAAAUCCAAGUACAAAACAUUCAGUGGCUCUCUUUUGUCUAUCCUCCUUGUUACUUCUUCAAAGAAUUCCACAGGUUUAUCAGACAAGAUUUUCCUUUCAGGAAACCAUGCCGACUAUGGCUUAUUUUAUCAUGUGCUUUCAAAUACCCUGAAACCACAUCCUUAACAGUUGACUCCAACAUCUUCCUAACUACUGCAGUCAGAUUAACUGACCUAAAAUUUUCUUUCUUCUGCCUCUCUCCCUUCUUGAAGUGUGGAGUGACAUCUGCAAUUUUCUAUUCCUCCAGAACCAUGCCAGAAUCAAUCAAUUCUUGAAAGAUCAUUACUAAUGCCAUUACAAUCUCUUAAGUCACCUCUUUCAGAACAUUAUGAUAUAUAUCCAGGUGACUUAUCUGCCUUCAGACCUUUCAGUUUCCCCAGAACUUUCUCCUUAGUAAUGCAACUUCACAUGCUCCUACCCCCUGACUUUCUUAAACUUCCAGCACACUGUUGGUGUUUUCCACAGUGAAGACUGAUGCAAAAUAAUUAUACACUUCAUCUGCCAUUUCCUUGUCCCCCAUUACUACCUCUUCAGCAUCAUCUUUCAAUGCUUCAAUAUCCACUCUCACCUUGCUUUUAUGCUUUACGUACCUGAAGAAACUUUUGGUAUAUUUUAUUAUUACUGGCUCGCUUACUUUCGUAUUCCUCCUUUUCCUUCUUAAUGACUUAUCUUAGGUGCCUUCUGUUGGUUUUUAAAAGCUCUCCAAUCCUGUAAUAUCUCAUUCAUUUUUGCUUUAUUAUAUGUGCUCUCUUUGGCUUUGACUUCUUUUGAUAGCUAUGGUUGUGUCAUCUUGCCUUUAGAAUACCUCUUCUUCUUUAGGUAUGUAUGUAUCCUGCACCUUCCAAAUUGCUUCAGAAAUUCCAGCCAUUGCUGGUCUGCCAUCAUCCCUGCCAGUGUUCUUUUCAAUAUUGGCCAGCUCCUUUCUCAUGCCUCACCACCCUUUAUUCUGUAAUAUGGCUAUAUAUGACUUUAGCUUCUCCUUCUUAAAUUGCUGGGUGAAUUAUAUCAUAUUGUCCCUCAGGGCUCCUUUACUCUAAUCAAUUCCGGUUCAUUGCACAGCCCCUACUCUUUGUGAUUUUUAUAAAUAACCUGGAUGAGCAAGUGGAGGGAUGGGUUAGUAAAUUUGCUGAUGACACAAAAGUUGGGGGUGUUGUGGAUAGUGUGGAGGGCUGUCAGAGGUUACAGCGGGCCAUUGAUAGGAUGCAAAACUGGGCUGAGAAGUGGCAGAUGGAGUUCAACCCAGAUAAAUGUGAGGUGGUCCAUUUUGAUAGGUCAAAUACGAUGGCAGAUAUACCAUCAGUUUUUCUUUUUAAUAGUUCUCGCUUGAAGUCUUCAACUGCAAUUAAUGCAAAGUAUGCCAAUACACUUUGAGUACCCCUCAUUCAAAAAUCUAAAAUCGAAGACACUGGGAAGGUUCCUAGGCCAUACGCAGGUCUUUACACACCACAGCCAGUUCUGAGAUAUGACCCCACAUAUGUAAUAAACAGAAAUUAAUGAAAAAAAAGAAACACACUGCAUAAAGCUAGCAAUAUAGAUUUCAAACAUGUAUUGAAAGAGUGGGUUUAUCAGAGCCGGAGUGAAUAUAUGCUGCUUAAUGGUAUGUUGAUCAUAAAACAAACAAAGAUCUGUCACUGAAAAUUAAAGGUAAUUGUGAUUAUUCAGCAGACUGGUUGCAGAACUUUAAGAAAAGGCACGGUAUUAAAUUUUUAAAGUUAAAGCUUCUGCUGCUGAUCAUGAAGCAGUAGAGAAAUUCAUUGAUGAGUUUGUAAAGAUCAUCUCGGUUGAAAAUCUAACACCAGAACUAGUCUACAAUGCUGAUUGUUCUUAUGCCUUACAUAAACUCUAAAAAUUAAAGUAAAAUACAAAUAUAGUACUCUGUAACUUUUUAAUCAAAACACAGCAUCGUAGGUGGAGACUGAAUGCCUGCUGUUGUUCUACAGCUGAUUCAGGCAUUCUCCUGAUGCUGCUUUGUUACCCUGCGCACAUUAUAUUUUCAUUAUAAUAAUAAUUUUUACUCUUAAGUACAUAUGUGCGAUGAACAAGUGUGAGACAAGGUCUGCUUACAGAUAGCACAUUCAUUUGGAGUCAGAAGUGAUGGCGACCCCAAGCUAUCUCAUAAUAUAUUCCAAAAUACGAACAAUCCAAAGACCAAAACACUUCUGGCGUCGAGCAUUUCGGGUAAGGGGUACUGAACCUGUAUCAGAUUCAUUGCUUCAGAAUGCUUGAAUACUUUCUACUUAACUAAGAAUGGUAAAGAAAGCUUUAAAAGAAAUACAUUUAAUAAAGUAAAUAUAAUUACCAGCACUCACACCAGAGAUUCCUUUCUAAAACACUCUGCAGCAUGUAUUAUUUAUUUAAAAUGCAAUGUCUGAAUUAUGAAGGACUUCAGUAAUGUAACAAAAAAGAGAAUUUGUAUCCAGGGAGCAUAUUGUAAUACAGCACUAUCCCACUUUCAGAAUGUGUACAAAUAUAAGUGUUUCUAACUCAUCCAUAGUCCAAGCAGAAAUUGUGUCAUGAAGACAUUAAUCACCAGGAACAUAACAGUGGUAAGUUUCUCUGGAGCAAUGCAAAUGCAAUUUGGGUAAGGUUUGAAAUGCACAUUUAACAACUAGAUCAAAUUAAUAUGAAAAUAUGGCACAGAAAUGCCCCAUUCGGCCCAUCUGAUUGAGAUGUUUUACGCUUUACAUCACUUAGUUGCUUCUUCUUACCCUUCCAGUUUGUCCUUCCGUUCCUCUUUCUCUCUUGUACUUAUCUGAAGCUACUGUGGGACUGAGUUCUGCAUCCUAACACAAUACAACCAAAAAAAUAAUUCCUUUUCCACUCAGUUUUAAAUAAUGUUUGCUGUACCCUUGGCCACUAGUUUUGGAAUCCACUACAAAUGGAAAUGUUCUUAAUCAUUUCCCCUCUUCAGCAAUUUCAUAUGUUAAAAACCUCUUUCACAUUUUCUCCUUUAACUUUUUUUUUCCAUUGAAACAUGUCCCAAAAUCUUUUCCAACAACAAUAAUAUUCAAUUAAAAAUAUAUUUUUAAAAAUACACUACAGAAAGUAAAUAAGGAAUUCUGCUUUCUGAACAGUUAUGUCUUACUUAGUGCUAGAAUAAUUCUUCUAACUCAGUGAUUAUUUAGGCUGAAGUGUUGUGCCCAGUCAGUUCAAACUAAAGUGCAAAUAAACAAUGUUAAUAAAGCUGAUUAAUUAGUGCAAUGUAUUGAUUCUGGAUGUACAGUCCAAAGCAUCUAUUUAGCAUUGUAAGAUGAAAGUUUUAUAUAAGCAGAAGAUUUAGCUUGACAUAGCUAACCAUUGCCUAAGUUCAGUGCCACACUAUAUAAUGUGCAUCGUUGCUAUUUUAUUGACAAACCACAAUUGGGGCUUGCCAGAGAAUUGAGCAACUCCACACUCAUUCGGGUGUUCCAGCUUCUAACGUUUCCAGUUGGAGUGUUGGUGGAAUUGAGAGUGGUUAAUACCUGCAGUUUAUCACAAAAUCGCAGGUAUUUUCCAGCAAGUUCUGACCAAAACUUGAAAUCAAAUCUGGGUGAUAUCAAUGCAGCACUCUCUGUGUGCUGUUGGGCAAGCCUUGGUUUUUGCACGCAAGCUGUUGGAACCACGGCUUUAGUCCUGUUCCUGGUUAAUGAGAUAAAUCCAUCUUGCGUUGAGUUCAAAAGGGAAUUGGAGAAGUACUUGAAAGGAAGUAAUUCAAGAACUCUACAGGGAUAGAUGAGGGCCAUGAAUUACAACUAAUGGACUUUCAAAGGGCCAGCACAAUGAUAAUGGCCAACUUCAUUUAAGGAUUCAAUUAAAUGACUGUGUAAAAUCUAGAGCCAGCCGAUAUCAGAACAGACUUCCCCAAAGAGGAUAAUAGAAAUCUUGGAUUCUCUCCCCAAAAAAAUAAAAAUCAGGAUUGGGGAGUUGAUUGAAAACUUACAGAUGAAAAUUAUUCAUCAUGGGAUGGUACCAAGACAAAUAGUGGGGGGGGGGGGGGGAAGUUAUAGGUGAGUCAUAAAUUAAGCGGAUUAUGGAACAGGCACUGUGUCAGCCCUCAGCUCCUGUCAUCUGUUGACAGAGUCCAGUCAUAAAGCCUGAUCCAGCAUGAGCUGAUGGGAGAGGUAACAUCUGACAGUUUUGAAUAUGCAACCUCAAUAAUCUGUCCUGUAUCUUAAUACAAUCUGUUUUUGCCAUUAGUACAUUAGGUUUUAACACUUGAUUUAAAUGGAUGGCAUGCAGACAAAGCUUUUCAUUGUAUCAUGGUAUGUGUAACAAUA